GGAACAUGUAUUCUAUGGUGCCGAGGAGGACUAUAAAUUUGCAAGUGCCCAAACGCCAGUCUCUUUGAAGACAUGAGGAAGGGAGGUCCAAUUUCGUCCAAGGUUGUGCCACCAUUCAGGUCUUCAGACAUGGGAGGGCUGCAAAUGGGAAUAACAUGAUCCCCUUUAAGACUGAAUGAAUUACACCAACUCUAAUUGAAGGAAAACAUGCUCCAUUUAACUCAAUUGAAGGUGAUUCAACUCGAUUCAAUGCGUUUAAAGGAUAAACAUGGUACUGCUGGGACUGGAUUGAUGGUUAAAUGGAAAGGGUAUUGAAGGAAACUAUUUAGUGGACUGCUUGCAUUUCAGGAAAUAUCCAGGUGAACUCCAUUGAAGGAAAACAUGAUUGUAAAAUGAAAUGCUACAACUCAAGGAAUAAUGUAGACCAAGCAUGGAGGUGCUUGGACUGGAUUUGAUGCCUAAAGUCAAAGCAAGGAAUACAUGCUGCUUGUAUGACAUUCUAUGCUUCAACUCCAUUGAAGUGCAGACUCUUCGGAACCCUGAGCACAGUUCUUUCCUAAAUGGCUACCCGUCUACAUUCUCUGUGUGUAUGUCAUUUGUCUUCCAAAGACUGACAAAAAGCAUGGAGCUGCUUGGACAGGAAUUGAUGCUAUAACUUGAUUCAAGGCUGCCACAGGAUUGUUUCUGUCUGGACUUGGGUGGUUAACAGAAUGAUACAUCCUGCAGAUGAUUCGUUAAACUCCAGGCCAGACCGCUUGGCUCAACCACCACCAACUGGGUUCACAUGGCCCUUUGACACAAUCUAAUCCUGGAGUGUCAUUGCAUAAUCCUGUUUUGCAAUGUCAGUGGUUUCUGAACAAAUGUACCACAUAAUGACUUGUUCAAUGUAUUGCCUUGGUUAUGCUCCCAACUGCAUGAACCUAUUGGGACCUUGUCAAUCGGUGAAAACAAUAAAAUUGGCCUUGUAAA